GCUGCUUGAUUCAACGGUUGACAGCUGAAUUUAAGCUAGACAUGCAUCAACUCUGCUGACAUCUAUCUACAUGGUAGCAACGUUUUUGGUCUGACUUAUUUUGUAUGUGUAACUUAGCUAGCUAAAUACAUCAAGGACACACAUAUAGAUACGUUCACACGUUAUCCAUGAAGCCACAGUUCGAUUCUGUUGAGCCUAGGAGGAAGAAGAGUUGGGAGCGUAUCAAACUAAACUGAAGAGGUCGCAGUUGCAAAUGAGAACUUGUUCUCAACUAGCCUACCUGGUUAAAUAAAGGUGAAAUAAAAAAUAAAUAAAAAAACCUUUCAACAUGAUGAUUUGCCCCCGAAAGAGAGCCAACCGCAGCAUCCAGCAGCUCAGAUGCAGAAGGCAGCACGACUGGAGAGGACUCCGAACCGAAGGCAACAGAGUGAAGCUGGUACUUUAGCCACAACCCCACUCACUGCCUGUGAUCAAUGUCAUCACUUCAGUACCAUAGACCAGGGGUCUCCAACCCCAGUCCUGGAAAGCUACUGGGUGUGCAGGCUUUCAUUCCAGCCCUGCAGUAACACACCUAGCUAAUUUAAUUUAUCAUAGUCCAGAUUGAGGACUCUCAUACUCCAGACUCAGGACUAUGCUGAGCUGAAUACUUUAAUCAGAUGUGUAAGGGAUGGGCUGGAGCAAAAACCUGCACCCCUCUUGCAGCUCUCCAGGACUGGAAUUGGAGAACCCUGUAAAAGACACAAGGCAUUAUGGAUCAGGGUGAUUCCAUGCCAGGAUAGACCCAGACUAUUUUUGGUGUCUCCAAUUGUUCUGGCAAUUCUCACAGAGAAGCUUCACUGGGAGGAACAAUUUUUGAUAUGCUUUUUACAUCUGUAACACAAUUCUUUUGAAAAUCAUAAAUAAAGUGGCCAUCUAAGGCCCCGUUUAGACCUAUACAUGCUUCCUGUACAACCCAUUGAUCUGUGAACCAUACACAAUAAAAACAAAACCUUGGUGUCAA